AUUGAACGCUGGCGGCAGGCUUAACACAUGCAAGUCGAACGCGUGGCGGACGGGUGAGUAAUGCUUGGGAAGCUCGCUUAUGGAGGGGGAUAACUACGGGAAACUGUAGCUAAUACCGCGUACCAUAGGAUGAGCCCAAUUGGGAUUAGGUAGUUGGUGAGGUAAACGCUCCCCAAGCCGACGAUCUAUAGCUGGUCUGCUAGGAUGACCAUCCACACGGGGACUGAGACACGGCCCAGCCGCCUACGGGAGGCGGCAGGGGGGAAUGUUGCGCGAUGGGGGCAACCUGACGCAGCCAUGCCGCGUGAAUGAAGAAGGCCUUCGGGUUGUAAAGUUCUUUCGGUAGCGAGGCGUUAACUACAGAAGAAGCACCGGGUAACGCCGAGCCAGCAGCCGCGGUAAUAC
rnacentral:rRNA from 1 species